CAAAAUGUUUUGAUAUAAAUUUUGUCACCUUAGGUCGAUCGGUAUCUCAGAUUUUCAUAAUUGAAAAUUUCAGUUUCUAAGUUUUUUCUAGGUCACCCAUUUUUUCCUGGGCCAUUAGCUCAGGUGGUUAGAGCGCACCCCUGAUAAGGGUGAGGUCCCUGGUUCAAGUCCAGGAUGGCCCAUAUCUCUAUUAUUGGGGGUAUAGCUCAGUUGGUAGAGCGCCUGCUUUGCAAGCAGGAUGUCAGCGGUUCGAGUCCGCUUACCUCCACUGAAUACCACCUUUCCAAAGAGAAGGAAUAUUUGGGACUGAUCUUAUCUGAAUGAAUCUAGCUUCCUAUUAUUUAUCUCAAUUAAUAAGAUGCUGGACUCAAUGGAUUUUAAAAUUCUUUGUUUUCAGAGAACCUUGACAACUGCAUAGAUUUUUUUUUCAAGACAAUAAGCAUCUUUUAAGAUGCAGAUUUAUUAUUGGUGCUUAUGCAUUAAUAACAAUUCUAUUGAGCUGAUGCUUCAAUUUUUUUGAAGUUAUU
rnacentral:tRNA from 1 species